AGGUUUGGGGACCCCCGAGAGGACCUAUACUACAAAUCUCUUACUUUUUGCUCUGUCUCCCAUAGCAAAGUCCAAGUUCUUUACGGCGGGACAGAUUUGUUCAACUACAAGGUCCGGAAGACCUUCAACAACGACAUGUUGCUGGCCUUCAGCAGCAGCAGUUGCAUCGCUGUCCUGGCCUAUAUCCUCGCUUCUUGCUCCGUCUUCCUCUCGUUCUUUGAGAUUCCUAGUAUCGGACUCAGCUGCCUGGUGGCCCUUUUCCUCUACCAUGUGGUCUUUGGGAUCCAAUAUUUGGGAAUCCUGAACGGAGUGGCGGUUUUUGUGAUUGUCGGGAUCGGUAAGUUGAGUUACCCUUCCUAGUAAUCACCCAGCAAAUCUUUCGGGGAUUGUGGGUGCUGAAGUACAGUUUCUUUGCUCUAAGAUAUAGAUUCAAGGUCCUGGGAGACAUAGAGCUCUAGGAUUUAGAUCCAAGUCCCUGGGAGACAUAGUGCUCUAGGAUAUAGAUGUUAUCGAGACCGCAAUUAGCCCAGAUCUGCCCUGUGAGGGAGAUCCGACCGCUCCGAGGAGGAGGGAACGAGCCUUGGCGAGCCGUCAGGGAGGCAGAAAAUAACCCGGAAUAUAAAUUUACCUGAGAUCGAAAGGAAAAGACUCUGCCAAGUUGAAGGAAAAAACUGCCAAAGUGUUUAUUUAGCGAUUCAGCUGAACGGACAUCGAGCAGCGAUAGAUCGACAUGCAAGAUGUAACGAUACAUUGGAAAUAAAG
rnacentral:lncRNA from 11 species